GACGAACGCUGGCGGCGUGCUUAACACAUGCAAGUCGAACGGAAAGGCCCUGCUUUUGUGGGGUGCUCGAGUGGCGAACGGGUGAGUAACACGUGAGUAACCUGCCCUUGACUUUGGGAUAACUUCAGGAAACUGGGGCGAAUACCGGAUAGGAGCUCCUGCUGCAUGGUGGGGGUUGGAAAGUUUCGGCGGUUGGGGAUGGACUCGCGGCUUAUCAGCUUGUUGGUGGGGUAGUGGCUUACCAAGGCUUUGACGGGUAGCCGGCCUGGGAGCGUGACCGGCCACCUUGGGCCUGAGGUACGGCCCAGACUCCUACGGGAGGCAGCAGUGGGGAAUAUUGCGCAAUGGGCGGAAGCCUGAUGCAGCAACGCCGCGUGCGUGAUGACGGCCUUCGGGUUGUAAACCGCUUUCGCCUGUGACGAAGCGUGAGUGACGGUAAUGGGUAAAGAAGCACCGGCUAACUACGUG
rnacentral:rRNA from 1 species